UUUUAGUUUUUUAAGGACCCUCCAUACCGUUCUCCAUAGUGUCUGCACUAAUUUGCACUCCCGCCCACAGUGUAGGAAUGUUCUCUUCUC